CAUUAAUGAUUAUACUAGGGGUUGAUGCUGGUAGCCUUUGGCUACAUGUGCUCACUUCUAUCAAUCAUCUUCCAAACACCUGUGCACACUUUUGGGGGGUCUGCAAGCUAAUUGCCAUAUUUGGGCGAUUUGCGUGUAAUUCCCCUCAAUAUUAAUACUUAUACUCUACUAAUAAUGUUGAACGUGUUGUGCCGCAAGGCCUUAAUGAUAAAUACAACUUUUAACAACGGAUCUCUUGGCUCUCGCAUCGAUGAAGAACNCAGCGAAAUGCGAUAAGUAAUGUGAAUUGCAGAAUUCAGUGAAUCAUCGAAUCUUUGAACGCACCUUGCGCUCCCUGGUAUUCCGGGGAGCACGCCUGUUCGAGUGUCGCGAAAUUUCUCAAGCUUUUAGAUGGCCUUUAUUGUCUGUCCUAGAGUCUUGGUUAUUGGGCUUUGCCAUAAUCCCUUCUGGGGGAAUGGCUGGCUUUAAAAACAUUAGCUGGUCCUCAUACGAUAUCGGUUCUACUCAGCGUGAUAAUUUAUCUGAUCGCUGAGGACAUCCUUUUAGGAUGGCCAGUGUCUAUUUGGGUUGCUUUUCUAAUCUUUGGGUUUCAUUCUGAGAUCCAUAUUUUCAUUUUGACCUCGAAUCAGGUGGGACUACCCGCUGAACUUAAGCAUAUCAAUAAGCGGAGGAAAAGAAACUAACAAGGAUUCCCCUAGUAACGGCGAGUGAAGCGGGAAGAGCUCAAAUUUAAAAUCUGGCAGCCUUUGGUUGUCCGAAUUGUAAUCUAGAGAAGCGUUUUCCGCGCUGGACUGUGUACAAGUUUCCUGGAUACGGAACAUCAUAGAGGGUGAGAAUCCCGUCCUUGACACAGACUCCCAGUGCUUUGUGAUGCGCUCUCGACGAGUCGAGUUGUUUGGGA
rnacentral:rRNA from 1 species